GUCGGGAAUCUUGUGCAAUGGGCGAAAGCCUGACACAGCAACGCCGCGUGAGGGAUGAAGGCCCUCGGGUCGUAAACCUCUGUCGGGAGGGAAGAAAGGUCGCUGUUCUAAUACAACAGUGACUUGACGGUACCUCCAAAGGAAGCGCCGGCUAACUCCGUGCCAGCAGCCGCGGUAAUACGGAGGGCGCAAGCGUUGUUCGGAAUCAUUGGGCGUAAAGCGCGCGUAGGCGGCUUGGAAAGUCGGGUGUGAAAUCCCGGGGCUCAACCCCGGAACUGCACUCGAAACUUCCUAGCUAGAGUCUCGGAGAGGUAGGCGGAAUUCCCGGUGUAGAGGUGAAAUUCGUAGAUAUCGGGAGGAACACCAGUGGCGAAGGCGGCCUACUGGACGAUGACUGACGCUGAGGUGCGAAAGCGUGGGGAGCAAACAGG
rnacentral:rRNA from 1 species